AUUGAACGCUGGCGGCAGGUCUAACACCUGCAAGUCGAACGAGUGGCGGACGGGUGAGUAAUGUCUGGGAAACUGCCUGAUGGAGGGGGAUAACUUCUGGAAACGGUAGCUAAUACCGCAUACCAUCGGAUGUGCCCAGAUGGGAUUAGCUAGUAGGUGGGGUAAAGGCUCACCUAGGCGACGAUCCCUAGCUGGUCUGAGAGGAUGACCGGCCACGCUGGAACUGAGACCCGGUCCAGACUCCUACGGGAGGCAGCGGUGGGGAAGAUUGCGCAAUGGGCGCAAGCCUGAUGAAGCCAUGCCGCGUGUAUGAAGAAGGCCUUCGGGUUUUAAAGUACUUUCAGCGGGGAGGCGUUACCCGCAGAAGAAGCACCGGCUAACUCCGGGCCAGCAGCCGCGGUGAUUC
rnacentral:rRNA from 1 species